GUGUAAAGGAAAGUGACUUCCGGAUUUCCCUCGCUGGCUAGAAGAGUCCUUGUCCUGCCCUUUUAAGGUGCGGAAAGUGUGGAACAGGCGGGAGGACCCGGCAUCCUGGGGGCGGGGCCGGUUUAGGCGUGGACAGUGCGGGCAAGGCCCUGUUGGGAGUUCUGAAUGUGACAUCCGUGGGACAACUGGACACAUGGGCUUGACUCGAAGGAAACAGGAGGCACCAGAGAUGUGGGGUUUGGGAUCAGCAGUCUGGAGAGAGACGUUAGGACCCUGGGAAGGGAUAGCUGCCUCUAGGGAGACUACAGAAAGAAGUUCAAGGGACAAAAGCCAGGUACCGCGGUUGAAGAGGCAGAAGGGGUACUGAGGCAGGUAAUCAUUUACCUUGUCAUUGUAUCUACAGGCCCUCAAAGUUGUGGGACAGGCAGGGACGCUCCCGGCGGCCCUUUCUCGCCACCUGCUGGUCAUGGGGUUUAAUGAUGAGCUCAGGAAAGGGGAUUCCCAGGGGAGAGGCCAGAGUCCUGCUGGCCAUUGCAACGCUGCUAAUUCCCUUUCACAGGCUCUGACCUCAACCUGCCCAGUCCGCGUAGCUUCUAGGCCUUGAGGGAAUGGAAGUCCCUCCCUGUCCUGUGCAGGGCAAGAAAAUCAGAAGUGGGAAAUGGGGUGGAGGUCUGGGGCUGUCCUAGAGAAAGGAAGACUGCCCAAAGCCUGGGGCUCUCUGGGGUCACUGGAUGCCCUGGUGAGAGAGGCCUGGGCCACUCAGUCUCAGCUGCAGAGCCUUGGGCCCUGGCUCACCUGGUUGCCUCACCCUUGACACUAAAAAAGGGACGAAGAGCCAGCAGGCCACCCUGCUCCUGCACCCUGCCUCUGCCUUGUGACUGUGCUUAAUAUAGGUCAAAUGAAAACAGCUCCCAAAAUAGCCCUUCUCUGAGAGGCAGCUGUGGCUGUGAAGUGCUCCACAGAAAGGGAGAAGGUGUGGGUGACAGGGGAGCCUAGGUCCCCUCAGGUGUUACGUAACCCGGGCUCAGGGAUCCAGGCCAAGUAUCUGUGUGGGGGGGGUCCCUGUCUCCCCCCGGCCUUCCCCUCUCCACUACCCCCAGGCCCAGCCGCACAAGCAAAAACGGAGCAGGGCCCCUCUUGAUGCAAGGUCACCCCAAAGCAACACUCCAGGGAGCCUGUCAUGCAUGCCUAAGUGGUCACAUGACUCCUCCUCCCAGAGCUGGCCGGGAGCCCUGGAAAGGGUCAGCUGACUCCCCGGAAGGGCCAGUGCCUGGGCCAGGUUCAUCUGACCCAAGGCACAGGCUCAGAGAGCUGGGGAGGAGAAGAGACCACAGGUCCUGCCUAGGGCCGGAGGACGUGUCACUGUGGGAGGGGGCUGUGGCCACUUUCUCAGCUUUGCCUCAGCUGCAGGGGCCUUUCUGUGCCCACCAGUCAUUUCUCCACAUUCAGGGCCCACUUCCUCAGACUGCCCUGAGCCAGGCCUCUCUGGUCACUGCAGGUGCUAUGGUGGAAGAGACCCCUCCUUGCCCACAGGGUCUCAGAGCCCAGAAAGCGGGACAGACAGAGGCCCCCAGGGGACAGGGGGGCACUAUCUUGAUUUAGUUUUUUCUCAGACAGGGUCUCACUAUGUGGUCCAGACUCAUGGUGAUCCUCCUGCCUCAGCCUCCCAAGUGCUGGGAUUACAGGAACUCCCAACACCUCAGAUCCUCAAUACCAGCUCACCUUGACUGCCUUUAGGGUCCAAGCCUUGAGGAAUCCCGGAGGGAACUUUCUUCCCACCUUUUCCAGAAAUCUGCUCGACACUUCAUCUCACAGCCACCACCCAACGGUUCUCCCUCAGCUCUGGCGCAAUUCCUGUCCCCCUCCUCCUGUGCCCCAGACUCUGAAGGGGGCAUAAGACGUGGCAGAGAGAGGGGUAGGCAGCCCCUCGGACUGGUCCAGAACAGGAGUUGCAGCCACUGGCUGUGAAGUGAGGAGAGGCGGAAGGAGGAGAAGCUGUUGGCCAGUGAAGAGUAAAACAGUCUCACAGGACCUGGGCGGCAGAUGGAAGCACAGUCGUCAGGAUGGGAGAGGAGGCAAGGAACGUGGACAAGGAACCCGAUAGCAGAAGGAGCUGAAAGAUGGGCCACAGAGGGAGUCACAGGGGAGCAGGAGAGAAGAGAGAUGGCGACCCAAGCCCUUGGCUGCUCCACAGUGCGAUUUGAGGGACAAAGGAGUCUGUAAUGGUGAAAGUGGGCCUGGGAGAGCGAGUGUGGAGAGGUGUGGGGGAGGCUGGAGACAAAAUAAACCAGGCUGUCAGGGGCUGUGGGGCGGGCCAGGGUAACUGCUGACGCGAGCUGGACUUCUUUGGGAUUGAUAAAAG
rnacentral:lncRNA from 1 species